CCGCGGUCGCCGCCUCAUGCCCCCACCCGCACCACAUCCAACCCCCACCCACAGCGCCGCUGCCUCCUGCGGUCCUGCACCCAUCCGCGGCGCCGCCUCCGGUCGCCGGCUCCUGCCGCUUUCCCCUCCCCCAGCGCCGCUAGAUCAUCCCCACUUGCCGCGCCGGUGGAGCUUGCUGCAGGGCUCCGCUUGAAACUGUGGAGGCAAGUGCCUCAAUCUCAAGCUCCUCCAGUCCUUCACUCCGCCGACGAUGUAGGUGCCCGCCACCUCUGAGACGGAAGGACAACAGCACGUGGAGCGACUGACAGGAAACACUUACAGGUGGGUCCAGCGCUAUUCGGGUGGGCUCCGCUCUGUUGGCCAGUGCUUCCCGGAUUUUCUUUUUCGCCUAGGGCUUUGUUCUUUUGGGACGCCGCCGCCACCCUCCAAAGGUUCCCCCCACAUGGCCGCCUCCUGCCUCCGCCGCCUCCGCCGCAUCCCUCAUCUCCUCCUCCAGCCCGCCGCAGCCACUCACUGCCUCUUCCCAACCCCCGCUGCCAAGGCUGCUCUGGUCACGGAGUCGUGCCCAUCCGCCGAAGGACUGCUCAGCACCCUCCGCCCCGGUUUUGCGAGUAAUGGUAACUUCAAACAUCAAUGGCAUCACAAGCUGGAUUCAUCAGUUGGUGCUGUAUUGAUUGGACAUGCAGUCUUUUUUCUUGGUUUGAGCAACGGCUCUGCAUUUGCCCAGGAAGACUCAGUUAGCCCAGCUGCAGCUAGUGAGCAUGCUGAGGGAAAUGCUCCUGGUUUACAACGGAUUGAAGAUGGAUCAGUGGUCUCAAACGAACACACAGUCAAAUGGAGAAUUUACACAGAUAAUGGGAGGGAGUUUUUCCAGAAAAGACAAUUGGAUGAGGCUGAGAAAUUAUUCCAGGCAGCCCUACUAGAAGCUAAGGAAGGAUUUGGACUUAGAGAUCCACAUGUCGCGUCAGCCCUAAACAAUCUGGCAGAGUUUUAUAGGUUAAAGAAAGAGUAUGAGAAAGCUGAACUACUAUAUUUGGAAGCAAUUGAGAUCCUGGAGGAAUCAUUUGGAUCUGAUGAUAUACGGGUUGGAACAGCUGUGCAUAGUCUUGGAAUAUGCUAUCAUCUUCAACUCAAGCUUGCUCAAGCCCAGACAUGUUAUGAGCGUGCUUUGAAGAUAGAAGGACGUGUUAUGGGGAUUGGUCACCCAGAGUAUGCUGGUACAAUGUACCUUCUAGCCAAGGUGCUCAGUCUACAAGGAAAAAGAAAAAAUGCAGAAUGCCUUGCUGAAGAGUCUAUUAGAAUACUUGAGGAAGCUGGGCUUGGCGAUUCACCAACAUGUAUACAAAGAAUGAAGUAUCUCUCUAGAGAGUUAAUAAAAUCAAAACGAUUUGCUGAUGCUGAAAUCUGGCAAAGGAAGAUAUUACAUGUUCUGGAGCUUUCAAAGGGAUGGGAUUCAUUGGACACUGCAAUUGCAGCUGAACUCCUAAGUUUAAAUCUUGAAGCCAUGGAUAAGUUGAAGGAAUCAGAAGAGCUAUUGGAACGAUGCCUUGCAGUCAAGAAAAAGGUUCUACCUGAAGAUCAUCUUCAGGUAGCUCUUACAUUGGUACACUUGGCAAGGAUAACAUUGCACAAAGUAUUAAAUGAUCUGGAGAAUGCAAACAGCGAUGUAACUGCAUAUUACCUCGCCAAGGCAAAACAGCUCAGCAAUGAUUCAAUCAGGUUUUUCAUUCAUCUAUUUUUUUUUUUUUUGAAAACUUAUUCUUCUAUUUUCUUCUCUUUCACUGUUUUGAAUUAAUGGUCUCUGAUUCUCGAUGACUUGAUUUGCAAAGCACUUGUAUUUUGGCAUUUUGGUUGUAUUAAGUCAAAUGACUGCUGUUAGUUCAGCACUAUAGCCAAUAAUUUGCAGUAUCCUAGUUUCGAUGAGGUUCUACUAGGAACACACCUGCUAAGCUAUGGACACAAAUUCAAUUGGUCAGGAUUGCAGAAGGAAAAUUAAAUUGUUCAAGAAAAGAUCAGAAUAAAAUCAACAGCACAUCAACUACAGAUACAGAUAAGAUUGCAGCAACAGCUAUUCUUUUGCAAGCACUUAAUGUUUUCGGAUUCAUUGAUGUUACAGCGAAGCGUUUGCUAGGGCAAGGGGAGCAAGAUUAUAAAUCUAUUGAAGAUGUUCUGCGUAAGUGUAUUUCACUUUACAAAGAGCCUCAUACACGAAGGUUAGUGAAAAAGGCUGUCAAGCAGGACUACAUGAUGUGCCUGAGGAAGCUCAUCGUUCUGGUUCAACGCAUACAUCCGUUUCCACAGAUGACGGGGUUGCAGGAGUUGCUUGUUGAGGCCGGACAAAUUAUAGAAGAGUUAGCAGAAGAGAGUACUAGGAACAAGUAAUGAUACGUAGGAACACUCGUGUAACUAUUGAAAGCUGGCAUCUAUACAUCCGUUUCCACAAGGUAUUCGUACAACCCGAUAAAUCUUCAUAUGUACAAGACUACAAGUUGUGUUGCCAAUAACGGUGGUUAGUUUUUUUUUAAAAAAAAAAAAAACUUAACACUGGCUCUACGGCCUUGUAUCAAGAACAAGUUCAGCUGAAUCCUGAGCUACAACGUCAUUUACAAGGUUUGGAAACGUA